GGCCCUUUAGCUCAGUUGGUUAGAGCAAUCGACUCAUAAUCGACAGGUCACUGGUUCAAGUCCAGUAAGGGCCACCA
rnacentral:tRNA from 2 species